UUUCUGUUUUUUGUUUGUUUAGACUAAUCUCUUUAAUUGUCUGUUUUCAAUUUGUUAUUUUUAGUUUCUGUUUGGUUCUAUUAUUAUUUUUUGACAGUUUCUUGCUCUAUUACCCUUGACUUCUCAAACUCAAGUGAUCCUCCUACCUCAGCCUCCCAAAAGUAACUACACCCAGCUAACUUUUUCUUUUUUUUUUUUUCUUUUUUGUUUUUUGUGGAGACAAGGAUCUCACUAUGUUUCCUAGGCUGGUCUUGAGCUUCUGGCCUCAAGCUAUCUUCCCACUGUGGCCUCCCAUAGUGCUGGGAUUAUAGUCAUGAGCCACUGUGUCCAGAUGAUUAUGUUUAGUUUGCUCUUCUGUUGAACAACCUGAUUCCAUGACUCAUAUUCAAGACAAGAAUCCUGGCCCGGCCCUGCCCACCAAUGACUUCUACACCCAUCUGAAUGAAGAGGUCAUAAGAUGGCUGCUGCAUUUGCACCAAUCCCGUUUCAGGAAGGAGAGAAAUAAAGGAGCAAAAAGAAAACAGAAGUACAUGCCCAUCAGCUCUGUGCCUCAGAAGCUCCUCUCCUCAUUAGCCAGAUCUGCUUCGUACAACAUUUCAGUUACCUCCUAUUGUAUAACAACACACCACAAUACUUAAUGGUGAGGACUAAAAUCUGACCUUUUCUUCUCUUGCCAAAAUUCCCAUCUAAGGGGCCUGGAAGGUAUUGCCCUACAAACCAUAAAAUCUCAUUAGAUGUUUAUUAACCAAGUAUAAUGUGGCUUACUUUCCAACCUGACUCUGGUGUAGCAUCACAUGAUAGAUAGCAAAUCCUGAAGGAAAUCAAAAUAUUUCACCCCAAAAUACUUUCAUUUGAUGUGUUUAGAAAUAGCUACCACAGGGCCAACAAGUUGAAAUGACCCUGCAAAGUCAUAUUUUGUGGGAGAAAUUUGCAUCUGUAGAGAAUCUCCAUUAAUGCGGCAGGUCUAUCCUUUCUAGGCCUUUCCUGGAUCUAGGAGAGAUUAACUGUGAGUCUUACACCUUUAAGUCUUGAAAAGAGAUAUUUACCAUCUAUUCUCAUCGAGGGCUGCUACCUGAGAGCUUUAUCUACAUAACAAAAACCUUAACUCAAGCAUUCCUUUCUACUGAAUCCAAGUCUUUGGACAAUAGUUUAACUCUCAAUUAAUUGUCAACUAAAUAAUCCCUAAAACCCACCUGUGACUUACAAGUUCCCCACUACACAACUCCUAACUCCACAUUGAGAUGUCCCACCUCACCCUGCAGAAUCUUCCACAUAUAAACCCAAACUAUAACCUGACCACCUCAGAUAAACCUUCCCAGGACCUCUUGAGGUUGUAUAACCCCAGACCAUGGUCACUUAUACUGGCUCAGAAUAAGCCUCUUCACACUUAUCUUGGCAGAAUUUAGUUGUAUUUCAUCAUCAAUAUCUUUAUAAAACAAGAACAUAGCAGACAAUUCUUCCAUUUGCAUACAUUUCACUAGGAAAGGCCAGAGGAUCUAAGAUGGCUUCAUCUAUAAAUCUGGUAUUCAACUGGGAUGGCUAGAGUGACUGUGAGUUGGCUGGACCUCUCUUUAUUAUUUUUUUUCAUGAUUUUUCUUCCUCCAAGAUUUUUGUCUCUGUCCCUAUGGAUUUUUUUCUAGCCAGUAGCUGGAAUUCUUUACAUGAUGAGUGGCUUCUAAGAGAGUGACAAACAGAAGUUGCAAAGUCUCUUAAGAUCUAGGUCCAGGCAUCAACCAAUAUCACUUCAACACAGUCUACUAGUCAAAACACAACCAGCCUAUAUUAGUCUGUUUUCACAAUGCUAUAAAUAAAUAUCCAAGUUUCAAUUGACUCACAGUUUCACAUGUCUGGGGGGCCUCAGGGAACUUAUAAUUGUGGCAGAAGGCAAAGGGACCUUCUUCACAUGGCAUCAGAGAGAGAAGAGUGGAAGAGAAAAGGGAGAAGAGCCCCUUAUAAAACCAUCAGAUCUCAUGAGAACUCACUCACUGUCAUGAGGACAGCAUGGAGGAAACCACCUCCAUGAUCCAGUUACCACCC
ensembl:lncRNA